CCGCGCCCCUUCCUCGCCCGCCCCGCCCCGCCCCGCUCGGCGCGCCCGCCCCAGACUGAGUGCGCGCGCCCGCAGCGCCGAGAGCGGGGGCGGGAGAGGUGGGGGUCCUGGUUCCCCGGUGAGGUCUACGUGCCAGGCCGUGGGCACUUCCCGCGACGGUUCUGGUUAGUCCCACCGGGUCCCUGCGCUUCCCCAGACCCAGGCAGUGCCCGCUCUGCUCAGAGGGUGAAUGUUGGAGGGUCGGAGACCAGGCAGGAAUGCCACCCAGGGAAUGUCAGCCUCGGUUAAUCUUGGCAUACAGAGACCCGGCCUUUUGGGCAAAGGGAAGAAAAGAGAUGACUGUCAGCAGAAUGUGGGAAAUUGAGCAAAAGUGGGUGGGGUGUGCACCUGAAUGAGUCAAAUUCUUGGCGAGACAUCAACUGUGAUUCUGAGUCUGAGCUCAAAGGUGUUAUCCCUGCCCUGCCUUAACUUGGGGGAGAAUAGGGAGGAAAGUCAGAGCUGCCUCUCGGAGACAAGUCCUGCAGGCCUCCUCCUCACAAGACCAGCUGGUGUGUCUUACUGUGCCCUACGUCGUGGUGCAGGAGAGUUAUAAAGAUGAAUGACAGCAUCCCUACGCUGGCCGAACCUUGUCCCUUGUGAAAUGGCUGAAAGGCAUCCCCUGGUCUUGGGCACCUCACAGUUCACACCUCACAGCCCUUAUUGCCUGUGGUAACUAAAGGCUCAGACCCUGCCCUGGGGUCUGAAACUAAAUUAGAGACAAUCCAUGGUUAGCUUCCUGGAUCCUGCUUGGCCCUUGAUUAUCCUCAGUCUGGGAAACUGGAGGCAGGGACUCCAGGCCUGCCAUCAGGGGAAGAGCCCACUGACUCACCCGUCAUUACAGGGCUCCAGCCUCAGGUUCAGCCACCGCUGAACCUUUAGCCAUGAUUUGCCCAAUACCAAAACCAUUACUUUCCAUUCAAAACCUAUUCUCCUCCCCACUUAAGCUUGAAACAUGAGAACCAUUUCCCACUCGCUCUCUCAUUUCCCUUAUCUGCUAUAAUUCAAACCAAGCACAUUUCUUAGAGCUAUCAUUUCUUCCAGUAUUCUCAAAAUUUAUACCCUGAACCUUUAAUACUGGCCUGUUGCAAUAGCUUUCUAAGGAAGGACCUCUUUUCUUCAAGAUUAAUUUUCCUCAAGCCUGCCUUUGACCAUGAUAGUUUGCUGCUCAACACCCCAACCUCAAGGUCACUCCCCCCACCGGCACCCCAUUUACUGAAGACUUUCUUCCGGGCCACCCUUUCCUGUCUUCAUUCCUGAUGUCUUCAACAUCUAGGUGAUGGUCAUCUAUUUGUCCUUCAGAGACUCCCUCCAAAAAAGGAAACCCUAGAACUUGGCAUCACCAGAAACUGCACUGUCUCCAAAAUCCUGAUUAAAGGCAUCCAACUCUGCCCAAUAUCUCUUGCACUUACAGUUCACUUUGCUCAGUAUCCCUUCAUCAUGACCUGUGAGCUGCCAAUCCCACCAUCUCACUGUCUCACCAUCCCUUGCCUCCUGUUUUCCCUUGCCUCCUGAUCAAAUUACAUCCCAUGGAUUCUCAUCCUCAUACUGACUACCUUGCCAUGCUCUCCUGCAGUGAUGCUGAAAAGCCUAAAAGUUAGUUUGUUUUUCCACUGUAUGCAAUCCCCUCUCCACUCUCCUUCAGUCAUCAUCCCUCUCAGCUGUCAAUAUGACCUCAUAAUUCUCUCAGAAAUUAAAGCCAAAAAGCAUGCCCUCCCUCAUCUUUUCACCACCAAAUCUGUACAGCCCUGCACGAGCCUCUUCCCCCUCUUCCUCUGGUUACACGGAUAGAAAUUACCCUCCUCCUAGCAAGGCCAGUCCUCCAGCGGUGUUUUAGAGCCAUUCCCAGUCCUAAUCCCUGGAACCUCUGAGUGAGACAUUACAGGACAAAGGAGACUUUGCGGGGGUGAUUGAAGAGGAAAGAUUUCCAGGUGGGGGAUUAUCCUGGGUAUCUGGAUAGGCCCUACGUGUAAUCUCGAGUGUCCUUAUAAUAAAGAGGCCGAGGAAACUUGACUGUGGACAAGCAGACGGUGUGACCAGAGCAGAGAGAGGUUUGAAGAUGCUUCACUGCUGACGGAAGACGGAGGAAGGGACAGUGAGCCAGGGAAUGCAACUCAGAAGCUGGAAAAAAACGAAGAUACAGAUUCUUCCCUAGGGCUUUCAGAGGGGCCUUUGGCCCUACUGAUAAUUUGACUUUAGUCCAGUGAAACUGUAUUUGAACUUCUGACCUCCAGAACUGGAAGAGAAUAAACGUGUGUUUUAAGUCCCAC